rnacentral:rRNA from 1 species
GGAAACGACUGCUAAUACCGCAUAAGCCACGACCCGGCAGUCGGUAGAGGGAAAGGNGCAAUCCGUCUUUGAGAUGGCCUCGCGUCCGAUUAGCUAGUUGGUGAGGUAAAGGCCCACCAAGGCGACGAUCGGUAGCCGGACUGAGAGGUUGAACGGCCACAUUGGGACUGAGACACGGCCCAGACUCCUACGGGAGGCAGCAGGUGGGGAAUAUUGCACAAUGGGGGAAACCCUGAUGCAGCGACGCCGCGUGGAGGAAGAAGGUCUUCGGAUUGUAAACUCCUGUUGUUGAGGAAGAUAAUGACGGUACUCAACAAGGAAGUGACGGCUAACUACGUG